rnacentral:rRNA from 1 species
UGGGGAAUUUUGGACAAUGGGCGCAAGCCUGAUCCAGCAAUGCCGCGUGCAGGAUGAAGGCCUUCGGGUUGUAAACUGCUUUUGUACGGAACGAAACGGCUCUGUCUAAUACAUGGGGCUAAUGACGGUACCGUAAGAAUAAGCACCGGCUAACUACGUGCCAGCAGCCGCGGUAAUACGUAGGGUGCAAGCGUUAAUCGGAAUUACUGGGCGUAAAGCGUGCGCAGGCGGUGAUGUAAGACAGGUGUGAAAUCCCCGGGCUUAACCUGGGAAUUGCAUUUGUGACUGCAUCGCUGGAGUGCGGCAGAGGGGGAUGGAAUUCCGCGUGUAGCAGUGAAAUGCGUAGAUAUGCGGAGGAACACCUGAGGUGAAGACGGGUUGCUGGUCUAACACUGACGCUGAGGCGCGAAAGCCAGGGGAGCAAACG